rnacentral:rRNA from 1 species
UGAGUACGAGAUGCUACGGCAUCGAAGCAGUCUAUGUCAUACUUCCAAGAAAAGCUUGCAAUGUCAUAAACAAAUAAUGCCUGUACCAUAACCGAUACAGGUGGGUAGGUAGAGUAUACUAAGGGGCGCGAGAUAACUCUCUCUAAGGAACUCGGCAAAAUGACUCCGUAACUUCGGGAGAAGGAGUGCCUUAUUUUUAUAAGGUUGCAAUAACAAGAUCCAAGCAACUGUUUACCAAAAACACAGGUCUCCGCUAAGUCGUAAGACGAUGUAUGGGGGCUGACGCCUGCCCAGUGCCAGAAGGUUAAAGAAGUUGGUUAGCAUUAGCGAAGCUGAUAACUGAAGCCCUGGUGAACGGCGGCCGUAACGAUAACGGUCCUAAGGUAGCGAAAUUCCUUGUCGGGUAAGUUCCGACACGCACGAAAGGCGUAAUGAUUUGGAUACUGUCUCGGAGAGGGGCUCGGUGAAAUAGACUUGUCUGUGAAGAUGCGGACUACCUGCACCUGGACAGAAAGACCCUAUGAAGCUUUACUGUAACUUGAGAUUGAAAUUGGACUUUAUCUGCGCAGUAUAGGUGGGAGACGUUGAAAAUAUUCUUGCGGGAAUAUUGGAGUCAUCAGUGAGAUACCACUCUUAUAAUGUUAGAUUUCUAACUUUGUAUCAUUAUCUGGUCAAAGAACAGUUUCAGGCGGGCAGUUUGACUGGGGCGGUCGCCUCCCAAACGGUAACGGAGGCGCACAAAGGUUUCCUCUGAACGUGUAGAAAUCGUAUCUAGAGUGUAAAGGCAUAAGGAAGCUUGACUGUGAGACCUACAAGUCGAGCAGGGACGAAAGUCGGUCUUAGUGAUCUGACGGUGCUGAGUGGAAAGGCCGUCACUCAACGGAUAAAAGUUACUCUAGGAUAACAGGCUGAUCUCCCCCAAGAGUUCACAUCGACGGGGAGGUUUGGCACCUCGAUGUCGGCUCAUCGCAUCCUGGGGCGGUAGUACGUCCCAAGGGUUGGGCUGUUCGCCCAUGAAAGCGGUACGCGAGCUGGGUUCAGAACGUCGUGAGACAGUUCGGUCCAUAUCCGGUGUAGGCGUUAGAAUAUUGAGAGGAGCCUUCUUUAGUACGAGAGGACCUAGAAGGACAUACCUCUGGUGUACCAGUUAUCGUGCCAACGGUAAACGCUGGGUAGCCAUGUAUGGAGAGGAUAACCGCUGAAAGCAUCUAAGUGGGAAGCCCACCUCAAGAUAAG